CGCUAUCUGAUAAGGUCCCGGCCCACCCCACCGACAGCCUCUCUCUGUCUUCCCCGCAACACCUGCGUCUCUCUCUCUAUUCUCUCUCUCACUCUUCCCCGCGGAUCUGGAUCAGAGGGGGCUCACCGGCCUCUCCCCUCAACGCCGACCACCAAGAGCCUCCUACUAACCGGCCACCACGCUCCACCGGCGGAUCGGAGGAGGGGAGGACCACCCCGGCGUGGCUCUGCCCCGAGGUCGUCGUCGCACCACCACCACGACGAUUGUCUUGGACGCACCACCACCAGCCUACUCCACCAUGGCGUCCUCUGCAACUGCCCCGUGCUCCCUGGGCAACCAAAUCCAGCCCCACCACUGCCGUGCCCUGCCGUCGUCGACGGGACGAUGCGGCCGUUGUCUCCUUCCUCUGCCCGAGGCUUGUUGAGAUCCUUUCUCUCCGGCUCCGAUUGAGCCCACUACCCCCCAUAUGCUUGCUCUUUGAUGAUCUCCUCCACGCGUCUGGAUGCCGUGAUGGCGGAGGUGGAGGAUCCGCUGGUCACGGUGGCAUCUGAUGUCUGUGUCGCACUGGCGGGGAUGGAGCAGCCUCCGGCGGUGGUGGUGUCUGAUGUGGUCUUUCUGGUAUCAUGAUCUGUUGAGUGGAGGUGCAGCAGUGUCAGGUCCCAGCGCCGACUGCGAUUCUGGCCUGAUUCAGGCAGAAGGGUCCCGUGGGAGAGCAUUGACACCUUCUCGUCGGAAAUUCGUUGACUGGACCAUCAUAGCCUAGCGAUUCUGGCUGCCUGCAUGUCAAUACAAUGUAGUAGUAUUUGCUAGUAGUCCUGCUACAUGAGUCUAGUUUAUAUUUACAUUUUUAAUGUUUGUUUUCCUUUUUCUAAUUUAGUGCUAGUCUGCUACUCAGUACAUGACUGAAGCAAACUAGUCCAAUUCUAUGUGUGUUUCAUCUUCCUUGCAGAAACUGAAUGAUUGGGUGGUGAAAUAGGUGUUUUCUUUAGUCAACUAACACUGUAACAUUUGUAUGUUACGGUUUUUGGGCGGCGAUUUGAGUUGGAAUAGGAGGAGGAAAGUACAUAAGAGUAUCGAGAGGAUAGUUCUAAUGUUAUUGCUCAAUCCUCUCAAAAUGCAUCUGUGUGGUUUCUGUGUUUUCUUGCAUGCAUAUAAGUAACCAGUUGGCUAGUUUGUUGUCAUAGUUGCACAGAAACACAAAUGUAGUUGGAUCAUGCAUAUACAUAUCUCAGUUGGCUAGCCAACUUAUGAAGUUGCACAGUGAGGGCUAACCAGUUGCACAAGCAAUGGUAUUCAGAUGGAUACACUAUGUAAACCAUGUUCAAGCAAUAUGUGUGUUCUUUUGGUUGCACACUCAUGUGUGCUCUGUUUUCACAAGGCAUGCAUUCAUACAUGAGUUUGCAAAUCAAGGUAGUAAAUAUCCUAGCUGGCUUAGUCACACUUAUGCAGUUGUACAGGGAAGGCUAUAUAGUUGGUUGACAACUAGUUUAGUUUUGGCUCCAAUGCCUAAAUCAUGACCAUGCAGUGUGUAUGCUGAUUUUUUGGUUGCACACUCAUGUGUGAUCUGUUGGCCAUACAGUGCAUCAAGUUGCACACAUUUUGUUUUGUUUUGUAGGUGUGCUUUGGAAAAUCAACAUUACUUGCUUACCUCAUGGCAUUUUUUUGAUAUCAAUUGUUUUUGCUCAUUUUUACUUUUUAAUACGUUUGGUUGCUUCGACUAAUUUGUUUGUUCGCUUUUUUUUCACAGACCAAAAAUGGUUGUAGAAGGAGAUACGGCUCCUAGUGAAGGAGAGGGGCCGUAAACAAUUCUUCUUGGCGGAAUUCGAAACAGCCCGCCAAGUGGCAGCCGCGUCGUGCUCAUAUCGAUGGGGAGGCAGAGGAUGAUGAGGUUGGUGACCCAUUCCGCUUCGUGAGACGGCAGAAACGGAAGGCGACCACGUAGGUUGGAGUUGUGGCUGGAGUUGCCACACCGUCUGCAGCAUCUGCCGAGGUUUUACAGGUUAUGGGGGUGGAUGAACUGACAAUUCUAAGCUACAAAGUCACAUAUACUACUGUGUGGAAAGAUUAAAGGAAAAACAUAUACUUCUUGUCUAGUUGGUAGUUAUAUUUUCAUAGUACCUACAAUAUGUUUUUUGCUACAGUGACACCAGUUCUUCUGCAUUAUGUGUGAAAUAAGACUCUAUAUGUGCUCUCUUAUAUAUAUUUGCAUAUUUUCUAUGUUUUGUUGCACACAUUGCAGCAAAAGUUGACUUGUUUUAUGAUCUAGUUGCACAAAAAUUAGUUAAAAUUGCACAGCUACCGCAUCUCCCUGUUUUUUAUCCUUGUUUGUGUUGUCUUCAAGUAUUUAGAAGCUAUUUUUACAAGAGAAAUUUGGUGUGGGGGUGAAAGAGAAAGUCAAGGAGGGAGGAUCUGGACAGGAGGAGAAAAGGAUCAACCUCUUUUUUCACCCUUGUUGGUGCUGCCUGCUCUGGCGAUGGAGAUCCAGAACUGGGAACCCCUUGUUUUCGUGUGGAAGAAGGUGGGGGCAGGUAGGGGCAUGGGGAGAAGAAGUUGGUGGCCAAGAGGGUGUGAGAGUUUCGAGUGCUUCAGGAGGGGAGGGAAGGGCACGUGAUAUCCUGGGGACCGCGUCCAGUGUGUGGUUGGCGCGGUCUGUAGCUGGCUUUUCUUUUUAGUGUGUAGUUUGUUGGGUUUGCGCGGGUCUGUAGCUGGCUUUCCUUUUCUGGGAUCAGGUUGACCGAAUCUUUCUUUUUCUGGUGGCCGCUCGGGAACGUUAGGGAGCAGCUGGCCGCUCCCUAGACGUGUUCAAAAAAAAUCCCCACGACCCACCUCCCGCAAGCCGUAGUCCCUCGAUACCCACCUCCCGCAGUCCCUCGAUCCACUCCACCCUGACCCAUCGGCGCCUCCCCCCACCAGCCCGCCGCCUGCUGUAACCCCCUCUCACUGCUCCGCCGGCGCGGAUCCGGCCGCCGCCCCCGCCCCCUGCCCUGUCUCCAACCGGCGCCACCGCCUCGCGCUCUGCCGCCAAUCGCGCUCGUCGUCGUUGGCUGCUCGCAUCCCCGCCACCAGGACCUCGCCCCGUCGCCGCCCACCACCAGGACCUCGCCCCGCCGCCGCCCACCACCUGGAGGUCCCCUCUCUGCGCGUGGAUCUGGUCUUUCCCGAGCUCCCCCCGCGACGGAGGAACACAGGGCAGAGGCACCGGCGCCGGGAGGAGCAGAACAGGGCCCAAGCACCUGCCGCCCGCCAAAUGCUGCUCCCCGAACUUCCUAGUGCAUACUAGCUUCCUUCAUCGAGGCCCCCCUGGCGAUGGUUUGUGUUUGUUGCCCACAUGUUCAUGUUAAUGCUAGGAGGAGUGCUGCUAUUGAAUUUUGUUUGUUGAUGCUGGAUACAGUAUUGAACUAUGUAUAGUUAGUGAAAAAUUGGACCCCUCCCUAUUGUUACUGAUC